rnacentral:rRNA from 1 species
AUUGAACGCUGGCGGCAGGCCUAACACAUGCAAGUCGAGCGGAUGAAGGGAGCUUGCUCCUGGAUUCAGCGGCGGACGGGUGAGUAAUGCCUAGGAAUCUGCCUGGUAGUGGGGGAUAACGUCCGGAAACGGGCGCUAAUACCGCAUACGUCCUGAGGGAGAAAGUGGGGGAUCUUCGGACCUCACGCUCUCAGAUGAGCCUAGGUCGGAUUAGCUAGUUGGUGGGGUAAAGGCCUACCAAGGCGACGAUCCGUAACUGGUCUGAGAGGAUGAUCAGUCACACUGGAACUGAGACACGGUCCAGACUCCUACGGGAGGCAGCAGUGGGGAAUAUUGGACAAUGGGCGAAAGCCUGAUCCAGCCAUGCCGCGUGUGUGAAGAAGGUCUUCGGAUUGUAAAGCACUUUAAGUUGGGAUAAAGGGCAGUAAGUUAAUACCUUGCUGUUUUGACGGUACCAACAGAAUAAGCACCGGCUAACUUCGUG